GAUGAAGAACGUAGCGAAAUGCGAUAAGUAAUGUGAAUUGCAGAAUUCAGUGAAUCAUCGAAUCUUUGAACGCACAUUGCGCCCGCCAGUAUUCUGGCGGGAAUGCCUGUUCGAGCGUCAUUACAACCCUCAGGCCCCCGGGCCUGGCGUUGGGGAUCGGCGGAGCCCCCCGUGGGCACACGCCGUCCCCCAAAUGCAGUGGCGGUCCCGCCGCAGCUUCCAUCGCGUAGUAGCUAACACCUCGCGACUGGAGAGCGGCGCGGCCACGCCGUAAAACACCCAACUCUUCUGAAGUUGACCUCGAAUCAGGUAGGAAUACCCGCUGAACUUAAGCAUAUCAAUAAGCGAGGA
rnacentral:misc_RNA from 1 species